rnacentral:rRNA from 1 species
GAGUUUGAUCCUGGCUCAGGAUGAACGCUAGCGGCAGGCCUAAUACAUGCAAGUCGAACGCUCAGUAGCAAUACUGGGAGUGGCGCACGGGUGCGUAACGCGUACACAAUCUACCUCUAAGCGGGGGACACCUCCUGGAAACGGGGAUUAAUACCGCAUAAUAUGCCGAAGUCGCAUGACUUUUGGUAUUAAAGCAGCAAUGCACUUAGAGAUGAGUGUGCGUCCCAUUAGGUAGUUGGUGAGGUAACGGCUCACCAAGCCUAUGAUGGGUAGCCGGUCUGAGAGGAUGGUCGGCCACACGGGCACUGAGACACGGGCCCGACUCCUACGGGAGGCAGCAGUAAGGAAUAUUGGUCAAUGGUGGAAACACUGAACCAGCCAUGCCGCGUGGAGGAAUAAGGUCCUACGGAUUGUAAAUUCCUUUUGACGAGGAAGAAAAUGUUAGAUUUAUCUAAUUUUGACGGUACUCGUAGAAUAAGCACCGGCUAACUCCGUG